rnacentral:tRNA from 1 species
UCCCUGGUGGUCUAGUGGUUAAGACUCUGUGCUUCCACUGCAGGGGGCAGGUUUGAUCCCUGGUUGGGGAA